ACAAAAGGCAGUCUCCCUGUAGCAGAAGGAUAAAAUGAUAUGGUUUGAAAAUACCUUGUCACUGCUUUCCUCCUCCCUUCGCACAGAUCAACAUGCUUGGGCGUGGAGCACAUCGUUUUUCUGGAAUAUUUUGAGCAAGCCUGGAUGCAGCUGCAGAAGCUUCAGUUUAACAGAUUAUUGUUGCCAUUGCUGUGAUUCUUAGAUGUAAUACACUGAUUUUGCACUCCCCACAUAUAAUCGAACUCUUACAAGUCUAGAAAAGGAGCUGUUGGACAGAAAGACUUCAACUGAGUGGUGGUGCUCAGGGCUGUCUAGACUGACAAGAGGGACAUUGAAUGUCAUCUCUCCGCUGGGUAGGGAGCCUGAACUAGUGUGUGUGGUUGAGAGAUACUCAGUUGUUAGCUGAGUUUUCUACUAAUCUCCAGCUGGGGGUGAGUUGGACCAGGUGGCAGGGGAGCAUGAUGGACAGACCUAGAACCCGACAGCAUUCUAAGGGAGGCUGGAGACAUUAGUCGGAAAAGACAAUGUUGAGGCUACAGCAAGAUGGUUGGUGGCUGUGUUGGUGGUAAUCACCAUUAAGCUGAAGAGCGGUCCUGUUGGACUUGGUUAGCCAUGAGGUGGUGGCCUCAGGCACUCACAGCGUUUCAUAGCUGAGUGUGGAGUGGCAAGAAUGAGAUUUACCAAAUCUGUGGCCACGGUCCUCAGCUGGAAAAGGGUGGAGUGCCCACUCUGCAUCAGGGAUAAGUUGCUGCCCCACAAGGAGGCAGCUGCAGUGAAGAUAUCAGUCCUUCGUGAUGAAGAGUCAUUCAAGAGGGGCUCAGAGUAGAGCUGCUACUCGUCCACAUCGAAAGGAGCCAGUUUGGGCAUCUGAGAAGGAUGCCUCCAUGGUGAGGUGUUCUGGGCAUGCCCCAGGACUGGGACAUGAUGGAAUCCCCCUGUUUAAGCUGGAAGAGGUGGUCGGGCAGAGGGAGGUCUGGGAUUCUCUGUGGAUAAGUUUAUAUCAAAUUUAGUAGUUUCUGGUAAUAGUGUAAUAAUGCAGACAGAUUGUCUAAUUUGACAUAUAUUUUAUAGCAAAUUUAGAAAAAAAUGUUUAGGAAAGCAAAGAUGUUGAUGUUCUAAAGAAUAAGAUUGUUUUCAUGCAGGACACAGGAGCCCUGACUAACCCGUCACCAAACCGGUCAGGUCAAAGUUACAGGCAGCAUAAUGUUCUUCACUGCUUCUGCAGACCCUUUAACGUCUGUAACAUGUAUUCAGGGUGAACCUGCUCUUAUCUGUAAAAAGCUCCAAUUCUGCUAUCCUAUGGGGAUUAUUGGAUGACAGUCAUUCACACCAGUGUCCUGCUGGAGGUCAUUUGCAGCUCUGACAGUGUUCAGCAUUCAACACAGUCUCAUGACAGUUUGUGAAACAGCGAUGAGACAUGUAAUAAAUAUACUGAUGCAUUUCUGAAUGCAGAUUUUCCAGUCUUUUUGUUCUCAGAAAUUUAAAUUUGAAAAGGGUAUUUCUCUUAAUGUCUUUGUAUUAUUUUUUAAUUAAAUUAUCGGUCACUGCGUUCUGUAUGUCAGCAUGGUAGAUUUCUUUAGAUUCCUAAAUCCAGAAUAAAAGUCCCUUGGCAUACAUGCUACAAGCACAUCUGCCAAAGUUGUUUUAAGUUCACUAAAAAAAAUCCCAAACACGGGUGCAUUAACAUUUUAAGAUGAGCUGCAGGGGUUUACCUCUUUUCACUUCAAUGAUCAACAAAAUAUGUAAUUUGCCCGGAGGGUGUUGGAUGUUAUACACAGAUGCAAGAAGGGAUUGUAUUAUGCAUUCAGGUGUCACAUAGGCUUUUUUUAGUGCUGUUUCCUUAAGGCUGAUUUCAUCCACAGGGCGAUAUGAUUCACCUUUCAGGUACUAAAUAACACCUUGUGGAAUAACAUGCGUGUUGUGUUCAGUUCUGCUCAAAUAUGAAGCUCUGUGACUGAGACACUAAUCAUUUAGAGUGUUAGAAAAAAUGGUUUUAUGUGAGUUUGAGAACUAAACAGUGCAAAAUUCUUUAGUUUUAUGUUCAGAAAACAGUUCUGGUUUCAUAGAAACUUUCAGUGUACUUGCUGCUUAAGGUCAAAAGCAUUUCAGCCUUAAUGGAAAGUGUUUCUCUUUCCAGGCUGAUCCAAGCAUCCCAGACAAGGUACUAGGUGUCCACAUCUUCUGAUCGAUGCUUACAUCACUACUACUACCAUUUACUGAUAAUAAUAAUAGCACUGAUGAUAAUAAUGAUGAGGAGGGAAACUGUCAGUGGUCUGUGUUCAUCCAGGUGGAGAUGUGGAUCUAAGUGCAGGACUCAGAGACGGAAAUGUAACUGAAAACCUCUUUAUUGCUGGCACCAAACAUGAAAACACAAACUGGACCAUACAGGCAGGAUCUGAGGGUACGACGCAGCACUGAGCACAGGAAGACACAGGGCUAAUAUACACAGGGAGGUAAUCAGGGAAUGGAAGACAGGAGGGAGACACAGCU